rnacentral:lncRNA from 1 species
CGGCGGAGUCCACGCCUCCGCCUCCUCCUCCUCUUCCCCCCAAGCCGGGGUUCCCUGCCCACCACCGGUUCGCCAGCUUUAUCUGUAUGUAUGUCUAUCCACAACUCUUCUAUCUCCCUACUGUAGUAGAAGAGAAAAGAGAUGGAUUGAAUAUCGAGCAAAUUAACAAUAUAUAUAUAUAGAUAUAGAUAGAUAGAUAGAUAAUAUUUCUCUUUCAACUGCGGGCUUAAUUUAUAGCUAAGCUUCUGUAGGUGGAUUCCAGGGGACAAUAAAGCACCGCUGAUCUCAGCUAGCUAGAAUACUCCUCCUCCCUUCCCUUGUUCUCUCUCUCUCUCUCUCUCUCUCUCUCUCUCUCUCUCUCUCUCGCCUGCCAGAUCUAUCUAUCUACACAGCUUGCUUCUUGGGCUGCCUCUCAGCACAUCUCAAUGUAGAGUGAGCACAGAGCGAUCAAAGGAUAAGAAAAAGAAACGACGCACUCUUGUGUAGAUUUGUUAGACCAGCAACUCACAAGCUAUCGUAUGACUAACCCCUCUCUCUCUCUCUCUCUCUCUCUCUCUCUCUCUCAGAGAGAUUGAACGAACCCAACCGAAGAACAUUAAUUACUUGUCCUGUCGCGUAGUUGUUAUAGAAGGGGUUACUCUCCUCAGAAGAGCCUCCCCAAGCCCCAUGCAUCCACUUCUUACCAACCAAUUAACCUCUCCCACUCUCUUUCCUCUUCUUUCUACUAAUGGAAGCUUCACACAGCAAACCCUCUCUCUCGUUAUCUGUAGGCUCUAGCUAGCAUAAGUUAGUGACGACCCACCAAAUAAUUCUGAUCAAACUAACAAAUAAUCCUUACUGUGAUUUCCUCUUUUUUUUUUCUUUUUUUUGUAGGGGGCGGGGUGUGUUCACUGUUCAGGGCCUCAGGGGGUCGGUGAGGGGAGGGAUGGGGACGGGGAUGCAUUUGUGGGGGGUAACGUGCGCAUGAGAAAGUGGGCCGGAGUGGGAACACGUCACUGUCUCGAGUCCCGACGCAGCAUCGAAUGGCAAUGUCUC